CUGUGAUGUAUCAAAUAAGAAUAUCAGUUCCACAGAAGACACAGAAGGUAAUUUGAGAGACGCUACAGACACUUUCUAAAAGAGAAUGUCACCAAAUGACGUCGAAGCGAAGAUGGUCAACAAUUUGCCCAGACAUUCAGUGCAAGUGCGCCAUAGGAUCAGGAAGUCAACGCAAUCGGGACUCGAAGCUGCCGUGGUGAGGAGUUUCACCGAUGCCUGCCAGCCAUACUUUAAUUUCCUGGAAUGGGUAACCCACACCAUCCAGCUGCCCGCUGACAUG